rnacentral:lncRNA from 1 species
GGGAAGGCACCAAAGGGAGGCGGGGCGGCGCCUCGGCCUCCCUCCCUCCCUGCUUGUGGCCGCGGUGGCUCCUCCUCCUCGUGGCUGGGCGAGCGAACGUGGCAGCCGGCGGAGGCGGCCCUGGCCGAGCCCGCCCCUCCAUUUUGCACCGGGCGCCGAGCGGGAGGCUGAGGACAAAUUUUGAAGCACCAUGGAAGGUGUCCUGUGAGCAGAAGAACCAGCAGCGAGGCAGGAUUGUGUCACUGAAAAA